UGAGUACGAGAUGCUACGGCAUCGAAGCAGUCUAUGUCAUACUUCCAAGAAAAGCUUGCAAUGUCAUAAACAAAUAAUGCCUGUACCAUAACCGACACAGGUGGGUAGGUAGAGUAUACUAAGGGGCGCGAUAUAACUCUCUCUAAGGAACUCGGCAAAAUGACUCCGUAACUUCGGGAGAAGGAGUGCCUUAUUUUAUAAGGUUGCAAUAACAAGAUCCAAGCAACUGUUUACCAAAAACACAGGUCUCCGCUAAGUCGUAAGACGAUGUAUGGGGGCUGACGCCUGCCCAGUGCCAGAAGGUUAAAGAAGUUGGUUAGCAUUAGCGAAGCUGAUAACUGAAGCCCUGGUGAACGGCGGCCGUAACUAUAACGGUCCUAAGGUAGCGAAAUUCCUUGUCGGGUAAGUUCCGACCCGCACGAAAGGCGUAAUGAUUUGGAUACUGUCUCAGAGAGGGGCUCGGUGAAAUAGACUUGUCUGUGAAGAUGCGGACUACCUGCACCUGGACAGAAAGACCCUAUGAAGCUUUACUGUAACUUGAGAUUGAAAUUGGACUUUAUUUGCGCAGUAUAGGUGGGAGACGUUGAAAAUAUUCUUGCGGGAAUAUUGGAGUCAUCAGUGAGAUACCACUCUUAUAAUGUUAGAUUUCUAACUUUGUAUCAUUAUCUGGUCAAAGAACAGUUUCAGGCGGGCAGUUUGACUGGGGCGGUCGCCUCCCAAAGGGUAACGGAGGCGCACAAAGGUUUCCUCUGAACGUGUAGAAAUCGUAUCUAGAGUGUAAAGGCAUAAGGAAGCUUGACUGUGAGACCUACAAGUCGAGCAGGGACGAAAGUCGGUCUUAGUGAUCUGACGGUGCUGAGUGGAAAGGCCGUCACUCAACGGAUAAAAGUUACUCUAAGGAUAACAGGCUGAUCUCCCCCAAGAGUUCACAUCGACGGGGAGGUUUGGCACCUCGAUGUCGGCUCAUCGCAUCCUGGGGCGGUAGUACGUCCCAAGGGUUGGGCUGUUCGCCCAUGAAAGCGGUACGCGAGCUGGGUUCAGAACGUCGUGAGACAGUUCGGUCCAUAUCCGGUGUAGGCGUUAGAAUAUUGAGAGGAGCCUUCUUUAGUACGAGAGGACCGAGAAGGACAUACCUCUGGUGUACCAGUUAUCGUGCCAACGGUAAACGCUGGGUAGCUAUGUAUGGAGAGGAUAACCGCUGAAAGCAUCUAAGUGGGAAGCCCACCUCAAGAUAAGUAUUCUCAC
rnacentral:rRNA from 1 species